GAAAUGCGAUAAGUAAUGUGAAUUGCAGAAUUCCGUGAAUCAUCGAAUCUUUGAACGCACAUUGCGCCCUCUGGCAUUCCGGGGGGCAUGCCUGUCCGAGCGUCAUUACGCACCCUCAAGCCCGGCUUGUGUGAUGGGCCCCGGCGUCUCGUUCGCGAGACGGGCCCGAAAGGCAGCGGCGGCGUCGAACCGAUGAGCCCGAGCGUAUGGGGACUUCUGUCACACGUUCGCGGUGCGGACCGGCGCCUGCUUUGACUUUUCUGAUUAUCCAGGUUGACCUCGGAUCAGGUAGGGAUACCCGCUGAACUUAAGC
rnacentral:misc_RNA from 1 species